rnacentral:rRNA from 1 species
UACGGAGGGUGCAAGCGUUAUCCGGAUUCACUGGGUUUAAAGGGUGCGUAGGUGGGUUGGUAAGUCAGUGGUGAAAUCUCCGUGCUUAACAUGGAAACUGCCAUUGAUACUACUGAUCUUGAAUUUUCAGGAGGUAAGCGGAAUAUGUCAUGUAGCGGUGAAAUGCUUAGAUAUGACAUAGGACACCAAUUGCGAAGGCAGCUUACUACAGGAAUAUUGACACUGAUGCACGAAAGCGUGGGGAUCAAACAGG